rnacentral:rRNA from 1 species
CCUACGGGGGGCAGCAGUGAGGAAUAUUGGUCAAUGGGCGGGAGCCUGAACCAGCCAAGCCGCGUGAGUGAAGAAGUACUUCGGUAUGUAAAGCUCUAUCAGCAGGGAAGAAGAAAGACGGUACCUGACUAAGAAGCCCCGGCUAACUACGUGCCAGCAGCCGCGGUAAUACGUAGGGGGCAAGCGUUAUCCGGAUUUACUGGGUGUAAAGGGAGCGUAGACGGCUGUGCAAGUCUGAAGUGAAAGCCCAGGGCUCAACCCUGGGACUGCUUUGGAAACUGUGGAGCUAGAGUGCUGGAGAGGUA